rnacentral:rRNA from 1 species
UACGGAGGAUGCGAGCGUUAUCCGGAUUUAUUGGGUUUAAAGGGUGCGUAGGCGGAUUUUUAAGUCAGCGGUAAAAUGUCCGGGCUCAACCCGGGCCGGCCCGUUGAAACUGGGGAUCUUGAGUGGGCGAGAAGUAUGCGGAAUGCGUGGUGUAGCGGUGAAAUGCAUAGAUAUCACGCAGAACUCCGAUUGCGAAGGCAGCAUACCGGCGCCCGACUGACGCUGAGGCACGAAAGCGUGGGGAUCGAACAGG